GGGGCAGAUGUCGCAUGACAGAAAAAAGAAACAAUGAACUUGACCACAGAUCAAUGAAUAGAAAUUAUCCAAUCUGGGCCAGGUGCAGUGGCUCACUCCUGUAAUCCCAGCACUUUGGGAGGCCGAGACGGGCAGAUCACUAGGUCAGGAGUUCAAGAGCAGCCUGGCCAACAUGGUGAAACCCCAUUUGUACUAAAACUACAAAAAUUAGCUGGGCAUGGUGGCUCACGCCUGUAAUCCCAGCCACUUGGGAGACUGAGGCAGGAGAAUCGGAGGCAGAGGUCGCAGUAAGCUGAGAUCGUGCCAUUGCACUCUAGCCUGGGCGACAAAAGCAAAACUCCAUCUCAAAAAAAAAAAAAAAUUAUCCAAUCUGAAGAACGGAGAAAAAAAAUUUGAAGAAAAAUGAAAAGGGCCUCAGAGACUUGUGAGACAAUAUGAACUGUGCCAACAUGCAUGUAAUGGCAGUCCCAGGAGAGAAAAAGGGGCAGAAAAAGUAUUUGAAGACAAAAAUGGCCAGACAUUUCCCAAAUUUGAUUAAAACAACAUUCAUCUACAAAUUGAAGAAGCUCAGUCAACUCAAAGUAGGAUAAAUACAAAGAGAUCUAAAACUAGACUCCAUCUCAAAAAAAAAGUAAUAAAAAAAAGAGAGAGAGAGAACAUACAAAUGAUCAAAUUCAGGAAUUAAAGAGCGUAUGUCACGGACCCUGCAGAAACUAAAAGGCUUCUUAGAGAAUAUUAUGAAUGCUUUAUACCAACAAAGUAAAAUACUUAGAUGAAAUGGAUGAAUUCCUAUAAAGGCACAAACUUUAAAAAGUGACUUAAGAAGAAACCAAAAAUUGGAAAAGAUCUGUAACAACGAAAGACAUUGAACUAGUCAUUUAAAAUCUUCUCGGCCGGGCGCGGUGGCUCAUGCCUGUAAUCUCAGCAUUUUGGGAGGCCGAGGCGGGCGGAUCACAAGGUCAGGAGAUGGAGACCAUCCUGGCUAGGACGGUGAAACCUCGUCUCUACUAAAACUACAAAAAAUUAGCCGGGCGUGGUGGCGGGCGCCUGUGGUCCCAGCUACUCGGGAGGCUGAGGCAGGAGAAUCGCUUGAACUCAGGAGGUGGAGGUACAGUGAGCCAAGAUUGCGCCACUGCACUCUAGCCUGGGCGACAGAGCAAAACUCCAUAUCAAAAAAAAAAAAAAUCUUCUCACAAAUGAAAGUUCAACCCAGAUAGAUUCACUGGUAAAUUCUACCAAGUACUGAAAGAGAAAUAAUGCCAAAUCUUUCGUAGAAUAAAAGAGGAGGAAGCGUUUCCUACCUCACUCUGUGAAGCCGGUACUAUCCUUCCACCAAGGUCAGAAAAUGAUGCAACAAGAAAAGUACAGAGGACUAGCCUCAUGAACAUAGACACAAAAAUCUUUAACAAAAGAUUACAAACCGAAUCAGCAGCAUAUACAGAUGAUCACACGGCCGGGCGCGGUGGCUCACCCCUCAACAAGCAAUUUCUGUAAUACAUCACAUUGAUGAAAUAAAAGACAAAAACCACAUGACCAUCUCAAUAGCUACAGGAAAAG
rnacentral:lncRNA from 10 species